AUUCGAUGCAACGCGAAGAACCUUACCUACCCUUGACAUGUCUGGAACCUUCUAGAGAUAGAGGGGUGCCUUCGGGAACCAGAACACAGGUGCUGCAUGGCUGUCGUCAGCUCGUGUCGUGAGAUGUUGGGUUAAGUCCCGUAACGAGCGCAACCCCUGUCCUUAGUUGCCAUCAGGUAAAGCUGGGAACUCUAAGGAGACUGCCGGUGACAAGCCGGAGGAAGGUGGGGAUGACGUCAAGUCCUCAUGGCCCUUACGGGUAGGGCUACACACGUGCUACAAUGGGCAGUACAGAGGGAAGCGAACCGCGAGGUGGAGCGAAUCUUUUAAAAGCUGUUCGUAGUCCGGAUUGGAGUCUGCAACUCGACUCCAUGAAGUUGGAAUCGCUAGUAAUCGCGGAUCAGAACGCCGCGGUGAAUACGUUCCCGGGCCUAGUACAC
rnacentral:rRNA from 1 species